rnacentral:rRNA from 1 species
CCUUUGAAACUGUUAUUCUUGAGUAUGGAUGAAGUGGGUGGAAUUUGUGGUGUAGCGGUGAAAUGCAUAGAUAUGACAUGGAACACCAAUUGCGAAGGCAGCUCACUAAACCAUUACUGACGCUCAUGGACGAAAGCGUGGGGAGCGAACAGGAUUAGAUACCCUGGUAGUCCACGCCGUAAACGAUGAUCACUAGAUGUUGGGGAUAUAAUGCCUUUGUUGGCGAAAAAUCGAUAAGUGAUCCUCCUGGGGAGGACGUUCGCAAGAAUGAAACUCAAAUGAAUUGACGG